rnacentral:rRNA from 1 species
UACGAAGGAUUCGAGCGUUAUCCGGAUUUAUUGGGUUUAAAGGGUGCGUAGGUGGAUUAAUAAGUCAGUGGUGAAAGCCCGAAGCUCAACUUCGGAACUGCCAUUGAUACUGUUAAUCUUGAGUACAAUUGAAGUGGGCGGAAUGUGUCAUGUAGCGGUGAAAUGCUUAGAUAUGACACAGAACACCGAUUGCGAAGGACAGCUCACUAAGUUGUAACUGACACUGAGGCACGAAAGCGUGGGGAGCAAACAGG